UACGUAGGCAGCGAGCGUUGUUCGGAGUUACUGGGCGUAAAGGGUGUGUAGGCGGUUGUUUAAGUUUGGUGUGAAAUCUCCCGGCUCAACUGGGAGGGUGCGCCGAAUACUGAAUGACUAGAGUGCGGGAAAGGAAAGUGGAAUUCCUGGUGUAGCGGUGAAAUGCGUAGAUAUCAGGAGGAACACCGGUGGUGUAGACGGCUUUCUGGACCGUAACUGACGCUGAGACACGAAAGCGUGGGUAGCAAACAGG
rnacentral:rRNA from 1 species